GCAUGCUGUCAUGAGUCUGUAAUCCCAGCAUUCAGGAAGCUAAGGCAGGAGGACUAUGCACUGGAGGCCAGCGUAGGCUACUGAGUGAGACUCAGAAAACAACAAAUUUUAAAUGUGCACACUACUCAUUUUCCAUUGUUCAAAGGACAAGAGCAAUGGCCUUAGGUGAACCUUCAUAUAGAUUUAUUAAAAAGGGCUUUUCACACUAUUAGUGAUAUUAGUUUAGAUAAUGUACCAUGAUCAUUUUGGCUUAAUUUUUGCAAACAUGAAUGCAUUUAACUUUCUGAAAUAGUUGCUUUGGAAAAAAGAUCCAUCUAUUGUCUGUCUGUCUAUCUAUCUAUCUAUCUAUCUAUCUAUCUAUCUAUCUACCUACCUACCUACCUACCUACCUAUUAUCUGCUUGCCUAUUUAUCACUUAUCAAUCUAUCUUUUAUCUAUUAUCUUUCAUCUAUUUUUAAUCUAUCUUCCUUGAUCUAUUGUCUGUCAUCUGUUUCUCUAUCACCGUAUUAUCUAUAUCUAUAUCAUUCAUCUAUCUAUUAUCUGUCUAUCAUCAAUCAAUCCUCUAUGUACCUAUUACCUAACAUCUAUCACCUGUAUAUCCAUUAUAUCAUAUGUCUGUCUGUCUUUCGUCUAUCAUCUAUCAUCCAGCCAUGUCUAUCUACCUAUGUCUCUGUAUUUCUUUUCUCACUUCUCUUUCCUUCUGUCUGUCAGUUAGCUGGGUGUGUCCCUGGAUCUGGCCCCUUCCCUGUAUGUGAAGCAAACUCUGCCUUCCAUGGAUGCAGCUGGGGAGGCAGACACAAGUUCCUCACCUGCCUUCCUGCUGCCCAGGCCUGCUGUGCAGUGGCUUCAGGACAGGGUUUCCGUGGCUAAUUUUGGUUCUCAACUUGACACACCCAGGGAGUCUUAAUUGAAGAAUGGCCUCCAUUCGCCUGGCCUAGUAACGUAGGUGCAGGGGAUGAGGUGAUCUGAAUGAGGCUGGAUCCAUGCCUUCCCACCAGCCACAGUUCCUGAUUUUUUUGCUCACGGUGCUUAUUUAUUGAGAUAAGCCCCAGCCUCUUUGGAUGCACAGCUGCAUCAUGCACAUGGAAACCCCUUCUGAGCCAACAAUGAGUGGACAAGAUGGGCAUCCAGUCUUCUUUUUCUGAUCAUCCUUUGUGAUAGUUUAAUAGCCAAAAGGUCACCCUUAUGGUUCAGAAGAGUCUGAAUGUUAUUGCAGGAGAGAGUCUUAAAAUAAAGGAUAUGGGGACACAGGCAUGCAAACAACGAAUGGUUCUUCGGUGUGCAUAUGUGUAUACCAUCAAAUGUGGGCACACAUAUGUGGGCCCAUGAUUCUCAUGUAUUAAACAUUUACAAAGUACAGGCAUAUCUGGUGCUUGGGCAGGAAGUUAAGGGGCCCUGGGCAUGUCAAAUGACCCUUCUCUGUUUAUUUGCUUUGUAAUUAUGGCCUGUCAAACUUCCUUCUUGUAUCUGUUUUUAAAAAUAAAUACUUAUUCAGAGGAAUUUAACUCUUUCUAUGCCUUCAAGCUAUUUUACUUGCAGCACUGCGCCACAUAUUACCCUGAACUGUUGAACUCUGUUUCUGUUGCAUUCUAUCCCAUAACCUUUCAUUCCACUGAGGUCAACACUUGCUUUUUAAAUGGCACCACUACUGAUUGAGCCCAGCCAGCUAGAGGUGAAAGGCUUUAUCUCUUUCUGAAAUCCUUGAGAAAGAGGUAGUCACUC